rnacentral:rRNA from 1 species
GACGAACGCUGGCGGCGUGCUUAACACAUGCAAGUCGAACGGAAAGGCCCUGCUUUUGUGGGGGGCUCGAGUGGCGAACGGGUGAGGAACACGUGAGUAACCUGCCCUUGACUUUGGGAUAACUUCAGGAAACUGGGGCUAAUACCGGAUAGGAGCUCCUGCUGCAUGGUGGGGGGUGGAAAGUUUCGGCGGUUGGGGAUGGACUCGCGGCUUAUCAGCUUGUUGGGGGGGUAGUGGCUUACCAAGGCUUUGACGGGUAGCCGGCCUGAGAGGGUGACCGGCCACAUUGGGACUGAGAUACGGCCCAGACUCCUACGGGAGGCAGCAGUGGGGAAUAUUGCACAAUGGGCGGAAGCCUGAUGCAGCAACGCCGCGUGCGGGAUGACGGCCUUCGGGUUGUAAACCGCUUUCGCCUGUGACGAAGCGUGAGUGACGGUAAUGGGUAAAGAAGCACCGGCUAACUACGUG